UACGUAGGGGGCAAGCGUUGUCCGGAAUCAUUGGGCGUAAAGAGCGCGUAGGCGGCCCGAUAAGUCCGCUGUGAAAGUCAAGGGCUCAACCCUUGAAUGCCGGUGGAUACUGUCGGGCUAGAGUCCGGAAGAGGCGAGUGGAAUUCCUGGUGUAGCGGUGAAAUGCACAGAUAUCAGGAAGAACACCCGUGGCGAAGGCGGCUCUCUGGGACGGUACUGACGCUGAGACGCGAAAGCGUGGGGAGCGAACAGG
rnacentral:rRNA from 1 species